CCUGGUAGCACUAGUCUGAAAGCGGAAGCAACAGGUAGGAGUGACCUAAGGGUGGGGCUGAUUUGGUGACGGUGGCGUGAUGUAGCAGCUUGACUCCCAGUGAGUCUCGCUUUCUGAUGUUUGCACCUGUAUGUCAACCCCUCCCACACCAAAUAGGAGAGAUCUGGUAUCUCAACAGGAUAUUAAAGAAAUGAGCCUGUGAAUUCCAAGGGUACAUCAUAAAAAAAACUUUGUGACUUCCUCCUUGCUCUCUCUUCCAUCACUCCCUCUGGGAAAGCCAGCUGUGACUUUGUGUGGACAAUCGAGCAGCUCUAUGGAGAGAUCCCUGUGGCAGGGGACAAGGGCCUCCCACCAACAACCAGCACUAACUUGCCAGGCCAGUGGGUGGGUCACCUGGAAUGGGAUCCUUCGGCUCCCGUCAAGAUGUUAGGCGACUACAGUCCAGCAGACAAUUUGAAUCUAACCUCAGGAAAAACUCUGAGCUAGAACCACCCGGCUGAGCUGCUCAGCAGAAACCACGUGUGAUAAGAAUAUUGAUUGUUGAGGCACCUGGGUGGCUCAGUCGGUUAAGCGGCCAACUUCGGCUCAGGUCAUGAUCUCUCGGUCUGUGAGUUCGAGCCCCGCGUCGGGCUCUGUGCUGACAGCUCAGAGCCUGGAGCCUGCUUCAGAUUCUGUGUCUCCCUCUCUCUGACCCUCCCCUGUUCAUGCUCUGUCUCUCCCUGUCUCAAAAAUAAAUAAAAAGUUAAAAAAAAUUUAAAAAAAAAAAGUAUUGAUUGUAGGGGUGCCUGGGUGGCUCAUUCAGUCAAGCAUCUGAGUUCGGCUCGGGUCAUGAUCUCGAGGUCCGUGGGUUAGAGGUCUGUGGGUUCAAGCCCCGCAUCGGGCUCUGUGCUGACAGAUCAGAGCCUGGAGCCUGCUUUGGAUUCUGUGUCUCCCUCUCUCUCUGCCCCUCCCCUGCUCAUGCUCUGUCUCUGUCUCUGUCUCUCUCUCUGUGUCUUAAAAAUAAAUAAACCUUAGAAAACAUUAAAAAAAAAAGUAUCGAUUGUAAAGCUGUUAAGUUUGGGAGUAAGUUAUUAGGAAGCAAUGGAUAAUUAAUAUAAUAUACCCAAACACACAAAGUGACAAAAGUCCAAAACACAAAAUAAUGUGACUGUUUAGGGAAAUCGGGUAGGUUAUCAAGUCCAGAGGAAGACUGAAAGAAUGGAUUAAGUGAAGAGGGUAGAUGAGAGGGACUGGGAAAUAGAGCAGGUUAUCAGGUUUGUGUAAGGCUGGACAGAGAACAAGGAACCUGAGAUUUCUGAGACCUGUGUGUACAUUAGGUCAAGGCAGGACUGGCCAUGGCAGGCAGAGAGAAACCCAGCACCAGGCAUUAUCUGGGUGGCCUUUCAUGGCUUGGGCUUCCUACUCGACUACUGUUUCCACCUGGGUUGCAACAUGAUUGAGGCUGUGCCGUGAACCCCAAGGCACUGGGUGACGAGACCACCAGGCUCUAAGCGUUUACAAUGUGGUAUGUGCUUGAAAUAACAUGAAGGCUUAAACAAAUGUGGCAUAUCCAUACAAUGAAAUAUUAUUCAGCCAUUAAAACGGAUGAAGUACUAAUACAUACAACAACACAGAUGAGCCGUGAAAUCAUGCUAAGUGAAAGGGGUGCCUGGCUGGCUCAGUCAUAGAGCCCGCCACUCUUAAUCUCAGGGUCUCAAGUCCAAGUCCCACAUUGGGUGUAGAGUUUAAUAAAAAUAAAAAUAAAACCAGAUUUAAAAAAAUAUGAAACAUGCUAAGUGAAAGAAGCCAAACAUAAAGGGUUACAUACCGCAUGAUUCCAUUUGAAUGAAAUGUUCAGACUAGGCAAACCCAUACAGAUAGAAAAUAGAUUAGUGGUUGCCAGGGGCUAGGGGAAAAAGGGGAAUGGAGAGUGACUGUUAAUGGGUACAGUUUCUUUUUGGGGUGACUAAAAUGUUCUAAAAUUAGAUAAUGGUGAUGUACAAUUUUGGGAAUAUAAUAAAAAAACCACUAAAUCAUAGGGGCGCCCCGGUGACUCAGUGGGUUAAGCAUCUGACUUCACCUCAGGUCAUGAUCUCACGGUCCGUGAGUUCGAGCCCCACGUCGGGCUCUGUGCUGACAGAUCAGAGCCUGGAGCCUGUUUCAGAUUCCCUGUCUCCCUGUCUCUCUGCCCCUCCCCUACAUUCUCUCUCUUUCAAAAGUAAAUAAAUACUAAAAAAAAAAAAAAAGAUGUUAAAUCACCUGCCCGGGUCACAACACUAAAGCAAGUGAGAGAGCCAAGAACUGAACCCAGGCAGUUCUCCUCAGGCUCCACACUUAACCCACUAUGUUACCCUGCCUCUUGCUUAUAAAUGAUCUCAGUGAGUCUUAAGCAAAUCCGUGAGGUGGAUUUUAUUUCCUUUAUUUACAGAGGGGAAAAAACUAAAAUACAUAGAGGUUAAGUAGCCUGCUCAAGUUCACACAGGUAAGAAGCAGGGGAGAUAGAGUUUAAAUCCAGGCCGUGCUGAGUCAAAAGCACACAAUCUUGUGUCAACUUCAGUUCACGAUCCCGCAUUUCAGCGGCUGGCUGACAUAGGGAGUUCCUUCUUUCAGGGCUCACUGGAUUGCAAUGCCUGGUAUCUUUCCUGUUUACAUUUUAUUAUGUUUAUGUUGCUUUCUAAUUUUCCAGUUAUCUCACCACCAAAUAAUUACAUAAGCAAUCGGAGGUUGAAAUCUGUUUCUCUAUAUUCUCACAUAGAAGACGCCUCUUAGUUUUAACAGGUAUAAAUGCACGUUACCUUGUAUGUUGAAAUAAAUAUUGACUCCCAUGUCUUUAACUCAUUCCAGUUAAAACUUUGCCAUACUGAGGCACCUGGGUGGCUCAGUGGGUUAAGCAUCUGACUUUCCAUUUCGGCUCAGGUCAUGAUCUCACAGUCAUGAGAUCGAGCCCUGAGUCAGGCUCCUCGCUGGGCAUGGAACCUGCUUAAGAUUCUCUCUUCUCUCUCUCUCUCUCUCUCUCUCUCUCUCUCUCUCUCCCCCCGACUUGUGUGUGUGUGUGUGCGUGUGUGUGUGUGUGUGUGUGUAUGUGUGCAUGCUCUAGCUCUCUCUCUCAAAAAAAGAAAAUUUGGCCAUACAGAAGAAUUUGGGGAUUUUCAAAUAGAUGUCUCUUUUAAAAUUUAGAUUAUGGAAAUUUUCUUUUUAAUUUUUAUUUUUAAAUGCUUUUUUUUUUUUUUUAGUUUAGAGAGGGAGGGAGGGAUAGAGUGUGAGCUAGGGAGAGGGGCGGAGAGAGAGAGAGAGAGAGAGAGAGAGAGAGAGAGAGAAUCUCAAGCAGUCUUCAUGCUUAGCGCAGAGUGAUUAUGGAGAUUUCCUGUACAAAAAUAUAAAGGUAAAUACACACAUGCUCAUCACUUAAUUUCAACAAUUAUUACCUAUAGAUUUUCUGUCAUCUAGUUCUUCAAUUUAUUAGUAGUUCAGCCAUGACUAUAUUAUAUUUCAGUACUGGUUGAAUCACUUUUUUUUUUCAUUUUUUUAAAAGGAGGCUCUAUGUCCAAUGCGGGCCUUAAACUCAUGACCCUGAAAUCAAGAUUCACACACUGUACCCACUGAGCCAGUCAGGCAUCCCUAAAUCAUUUAUAAGAAAACAAAAUGUUAAUAGGUGUCAUUUCUUGGGUAUGUAUUUAUAGCUAAUUUAAAUUUUCUUCUUUUUAAUUCUCAAUAUGUUCCAAAAUUUCCAUGGUGAGUAUGGGGCUUUUUUGUAAUAAGAAAAAUCAAGUUAUUUUAAAAUAAUUGAAAAGCAUAUUUCUUUGAAGAGUAUGUAUUCAAAUGCAUAAUCCUGGAGUCAACUUUCUCUUGCUUAGAAGAGUCAAAAAAAAGGUCCUUUCUCCAUGAGCCUGUACAAUUUAGUGCAGGGAGUGGAAUAAAAAAAAUUUUUUUUAAAUAUUUUAAAGUAAUCUCAACACCCAACAUGGGGCUCAAACUCACAACCCCGAAAUUAAGAGUCACAUGCUCUACUGACUGAGCCAGGCAGGAGCUCCUAGAAUUUGGGGGUUUUUUUUGGUGUAUGUGUGUGUAAAAUUUGGUUUUUAAGACAUUCUCUUUUUAAUUUUUCUUUAAUGUUUUUUUUUUUUAAUUUUCAUUUAUUUUUUAGAGAGAGAGAGACAGAGCAUGCAUGAGGGAAGGGCAGAGAGAGAGGGAGACACAGAAUCCAAAGCAGGCUCCAGGCUCCCAGCUGUCAGCACAGAGCCUGAUGUAGGGCUUGAACUCACAAACCUUGAGAUCGUGGCCUGAGCCGAAGUCAGACGCUCAACCAACUGAGCCACCCAGGCACCCCAAUUUUUCUUUAAUGUUUAUUUAUUUUUCAGAGAGAGAGAGAUGGAGUGCAAGCAGGAGAGGGUGAAGAGAGAGGGAGACACAGAACCUGAAGCAGGCUCCAGAGCCCGACCAGGGGCUCAAACUCGUGAACCGUGAGAUCAUGACCUGAGCUGAAGUCGGAUGCUAACUGACUGAGCCACCCAGGUGCCCCAGGUCUGAAUUAUUUUAAAAAACAGACCAAAAACCCAAAAAACACAGAUCUAACAAGAUGCAAUUUACAGAUCAUAAAAUUCACCUGUUUUAAGUGUACAAUUCAGUGAUUUUUAGUAAAUUUGGACAGUCAUACAACC
rnacentral:lncRNA from 1 species